UGAGGAAUAUUGGUCAAUGGGCGGAAGCCUGAACCAGCCAUGCCGCGUGCAGGACGACGGCCCUACGGGUUGUAAACUGCUUUUCCGGGGGAAGAAUAACCCCCCUGCGGGGGGGGAUGCCGGUACCCCGGGAAUAAGGAUCGGCUAACUCCGUGCCAGCAGCCGCGGUAAUACGGAGGAUCCUAGCGUUAUCCGGAUUUACUGGGUUUAAAGGGUGCGUAGGCGGGCGCUUAAGUCCGCGGUGAAAGUCUGCGGCUCAACCGUAGGAUGGCCGUGGAUACGGGGGGUCUUGGAUUCGGUCGGGGCGGGCGGAAUGCGUGGUGUAGCGGUGAAAUGCAUAGAUAUCACGCAGAACGCCGAUAGCGAAGGCAGCUCGCCGGGCCGACAUCGACGCUGAGGCACGAAAGCGUGGGGAUCAAACA
rnacentral:rRNA from 1 species